rnacentral:tRNA from 3 species
GGGCGCGUAGCUCAGCGGAAGAGCACUACGUUGACAUCGUAGGGGUCACAGGUUCGAUCCCUGUCGCGCCCA